rnacentral:rRNA from 1 species
GAUGAACGCUGGCGGCGUGCCUAAUACAUGCAAGUCGAGCGAACAGACGAGGAGCUUGCUCCUCUGACGUUAGCGGCGGACGGGUGAGUAACACGUGGAUAACCUACCUAUAAGACUGGGAUAACUUCGGGAAACCGGAGCUAAUACCGGAUAACAUGUUGAACCGCAUGGUUCAACAGUGAAAGACGGUUUUGCUGUCACUUAUAGAUGGAUCCGCGUCGCAUUAGCUAGUUGGUAAGGUAACGGCUUACCAAGGCAACGAUGCGUAGCCGACCUGAGAGGGUGAUUCGCCCCACUGGAACUGAGACACGGUCCAGACCCCUACGGGAGGCAGCAGUAGGGAAUCUUCCGCAAUGGGCGAAAGCCUUACGGAGCAACGCCGCGUGAGUGAAGAAGGUCUUCGGAUCGUAAAACUCUGUUAUUAGGGAAGAACAAAUGUGUAAGUAACUAUGCACGUCUUGACGGUACCUAAUCAGAAAGCCACGGCUAACUACGUG